UCUCUGUCUCUACUCGCCUCCAACUGUGAAAUACGAGAGAGAGAGAGCUUAGAAUAUCGAAGAACUUUCUCUCUCUAACCCGCUUUCUCUCUCCUUUUUCCGAAGCCAUGGCUUUCGAGAAGAUCCAUGUCCAGAAUCCAAUCGUUGAAAUGGACGGUGAUGAGAUGACCCGAAUUAUCUGGCAAAUGAUAAAGGACAAGCUUAUUUUCCCAUUCCUUGAAUUGGAUAUCAAGUAUUUUGAUUUGGAUCUUAUGAGCCGUGAUGCUACUGAUGAUCGAAUCACAGUUGAAAGUGCUGAAGCAACCCUAAAGUAUAAUGUGGCCAUCAAAUGUGCAACUAUAACUCCAGAUGAAGCUCGUGUUAAGGAAUUUGGCUUAAAAGCCAUGUGGAGGAGUCCUAAUGGCACAAUUAGGAACAUAUUAAAUGGUACUGUCUUUAGAGAGCCCAUUAUGUGCAAGAACAUCCCUCGUCUUGUUCCAGGAUGGACAAAGCCUAUAUGCAUUGGAAGGCAUGCUUUUGGUGACCAAUACAAAGCAACUGAUACAGUGAUAAGAGGCCCUGGAAAGUUGAAAUUGGUUUAUGUUCCACAUGGUGAGGGAGAAAAGACUGAAUUAGAGGUGUUUGACUUCAAAGGGGCUGGUGGAGUUGCUUUGUCCAUGUACAACACAGAUGAGUCUAUUGGUGCCUUUGCGGAUUCCUCAAUGACUGUGGCAUAUGAGAAGAAGUGGCCACUCUAUCUCAGUACCAAGAACACGAUCUUAAAGAAAUAUGAUGGGAGGUUCAAGGAUAUCUUUCAGGAGGUGUAUGAAUCACAAUGGAAGUCUAAGUUUGAGGCUGCAGGGAUCUGGUAUGAACAUAGACUUAUUGACGAUAUGGUAGCUUAUGCUCUCAAGAGCGAAGGUGGUUAUGUAUGGGCCUGCAAGAAUUAUGAUGGUGAUGUUCAGAGUGAUUUCUUAGCUCAAGGGUUUGGGUCACUCGGAAUGAUGACAUCUGUUCUGGUGUGCCCUGAUGGGAAGACCAUUGAAGCCGAAGCUGCACAUGGCACAGUUACUCGCCACUAUCGUGUCCAUCAGAAGGGUGGAGAAACAAGCACGAAUAGCAUUGCCUCCAUAUUUGCAUGGUCCAGGGGACUCGCCCACAGGGCAAAACUGGAUGACAACGCAAGGUUGAAGGAGUUUGCAGAGAAGCUGGAAGCUGCAUGUGUGGGGACAGUGGAGUCUGGGAAGAUGACCAAGGAUCUUGCUCUUAUCAUCCAUGGUUCCAAGGUGACUAGAGAGCAUUAUUUGAACACUGAGGAAUUCAUCGAUGCAGUGGCUGACGACCUCAAAUGCAGGCUUUCCCCCAAGCCAAAGUUGUAACUCGGUCAUAAAUCGUAGUUCUCUUGUGAUACUUGGCUUUAAAAAUAAAGAAAAUACUGAUUAUUAAACACUUGAAUGAAAAUCAAGAAAACAAAAUAAAGGGUCGAGUGCUGGGACCUCGUGGUUUGGAGCUCUUCGUCUCAACCAUGAGGUGCGUAUGAGCUUGUGCCCUGUUUUGCUCAAGCGUAGUAUGGAGCUGUUCUUGGCAAUGUGGAAUUGAGGUGGGAUUAUGGUUUUCCUUAAUGAAAAUGAGAUAAGCAAUUAUCUUUGUUUUCGUAAUUUAUUACGAACUCUUUUGGUUCUCUUGCAAGGGUUUUGAUUCUCUCUCUUGCUCGUUUCUCAAUCAUAUAUUUCUGUUCUACUCACUUGUGACUCGCUCUACAAAUGCUCUUCCCCCAUACUCUCUCUCUGUCUCAAUAUUUAGAAAGUGGGUAUAUUUUGGUAGAUUGCUAAGAAUUUUGCUAUGUAACUCAUGAGAUUGGCUGAAGUUUUUCCUACUAAGUAGGAUGCUACUUGUUCUUUGCAUCAUUUAAGUGGCCUCAUGGCUAUGAAAUAAAAGAUAUUUUGGAACCAA